ACUCUACGGGAGGCAGCAGUGGGGAAUCUUGCGCAAUGGGCGAAAGCCUGACGCAGCAACGCCGCGUGCGGGAAGAUAGGCCUUCGGGUUGUAAACCGCUUUCAGGGGGAACGAAGUCGUCCCGGGUUAAUAGCCCGAGCGUUGACGGUACCCCCAAAAGAAGUCCCGGCUAACUACGUGCCAGCAGCCGCGGUAAUACGUAGGGGACAAGCGUUGUCCGGAAUCAUUGGGCGUAAAGCGCGUGUAGGCGGCCCAGUAAGUCUUGCGUGAAAUCCUGAGGCUCAACCUCAGGCGUGCGCGGGAUACUGCUGGGCUAGAGUCCGGAAGAGGAGUGUGGAAUUCCUGGUGUAGCGGUGGAAUGCGCAGAUAUCAGGAAGAACAUCUAUGGCGAAGGCAGCACUCUGGGACGGUACUGACGCUGAGACGCGAAAGCGUGGGGAGCGAACAGGAUUAGAUACCCUGGUAGUCCACGCCGUAAACGAUGGGCGCUAGGUGUGGGAGGUGUCGAUUCCUUCCGUGCCGAAGCUAACGCAUUAAGCGCCCCGCCU
rnacentral:rRNA from 1 species